rnacentral:rRNA from 1 species
AUGAACAUGCUGAUCAUGAACUACUACUACUCUGAUGACAAACUAAUUGUUGGAAGCCUUGCAUAUAAAGAAAUAAUUGAAGAAUCACUGGGGCUAACAUGUGUGUACAAUGAUGACGCUGUGACGGAGGUGAUGUGGGGUGUGCAGAAUAUCAUGCACACUUUAGUGCCUCAAGAACAAUAUGAGAUUAGUAAGGAGGACCUGAUCCUGAGCCACAGGCUGAAUAUGAUCUUAAAUCUACAUGACAUUGUAGUCAAGAAAGAUAUGAUUAAUGAGUGUAUUAUUGAGAAGGCCAGCAAGGUGCAUCAUAUCGACAUGCGCGAAGAAGAACAUUUAGUUUUCUUGCACGAACGCUUGCUGAGGAUUUCAGGACGUUUUCCAAAGUCGACAUCGAGGAGUGGAGCUUAUUCAAACUUGCGACAGCGUUGA